UAAAAGCUGCUUUUCCGCCUCAUAUAAAUGUCUUCAUUCUGGGAGGGGCUGGUGAGGUAGCCAGUCAUAGAUAAGGACCCAGGACCUGUCCUUCAGCUCAUCCCCUCCACCCAAUUUGGGCUAGGCACCCCUACAUCUUGUGUUUUUUCUUCCUAGGUCUUCAAGCAGCUCAGCGUGCAUGUGGGCAGCGUGGCCCUGGCCCUCCAGAGCCUCAGGAAGGCAACACGUUACCUGGCGAAUGGCCCUGGCAGGCCAGUGUGAGACGACAGGGUGUACACAUCUGCAGUGGCUCCUUGGUGGCAGAUACCUGGGUCCUUACAGCUGCUCACUGCUUUGAAAAGAUGGCCACAGCAGAACUGAGCUCCUGGUCCGUGGUCCUGGGUUCUCUCAAGCAGGAGGGGCUGAGCCC
rnacentral:lncRNA from 1 species